rnacentral:RNase_P_RNA from 1 species
AGAGCUGGCUCAGUGGUUGCGGAGACAGUUAAAGGUUCGCCUUUGACUAGCUCUGAGGAAAGUCCGGGCUCCCUAAAAGCCAAACUUGCUGGGUAACGCCCAGUGCGGGUGACCGUGAGGAGAGUGCCACAGAAACAUACCGCUAACGGGAAGCAGUUUGCUUCUACGAGUAAGGGUGCAAGGGUGCGGUAAGAGCGCACCAGCAGUAUCGAGAGGUGCUGGCUAGGUAAACCCCGGUUGGGUGCAAGGCCAUAGGAGCACACGGUUGGCUUUUUACCGGCUCCGACAAAGCGCGCCGCUUGAGGCGUCUGGCAACAGGCGUCCUAGAUAGAUAACCACCUCAUGCUGUUAGCGUUAGCUAGCGGGGUGAGAACAGAACCCGGCUUAGGUCCAGCUCUACCC